ensembl:lncRNA
CUGCCUCUGAAUGAAUGGGUGAGUGAGUGAGGAGGUGAGUGAGUGAGUGAGUGAGGAGGUGAGUGAGUGAGUGAGGAGGUGAGUGUGUGAGGAGGUGAGUGAGGAGGUGAGUGAGUGAGUGAGGAGGUGAGUGAGGAGGUGAGUGAGUGAGUGAGUUAGGAGGUGAGUGAGUGAGUGAGUGUGGAGGUAAGUGAGUGAGGAGGUGAGUGAGGAGGUGAGUGGGUGAGUGAGUGAGUGAGUGUGGAGGUAAGUGAGUGAGGAGGUGAGUGAGUGAGGAGGUGAGUGAGUGAGUGAGUGGGUGGGUGAGUGAGUGAGUGAGGAGGUGAGUGAGUGAGGAGGUGAGUGGGUGAGUGAGUGAGUGAAUGGGUGAGUGAGUGAGUGAGUGAGGAGGUGAGUGAGUGAGUGAGGAGGUGAGUGAGUGAGUGAGGAGGUGAGUGAGUGAGCGAGGAGGUGAGUGAGUGAGUGAGUGAGGAGGUGAGUGUGUGAGUGAGUGAGGAGGUGAGUGAGUG